rfam:Triticum aestivum genome assembly, contig: Triticum_aestivum_CS42_TGACv1_scaffold_030532_1BL
UAUGUACUCCCUCCGUCCCAAAAUUUUUGUCUUAGAUUUGUCUAAAUACGGGCGUAUCUAGUUACAUUUUAGUGUUAGAUACAUCCGUAUCUACACAAAUCUAAGACAAGAAUUUGGGGACGGAGGGAGUAUUAU